GAAAGUCUAGCUCAGUGGAAGAGCGCGUGCUUAGUGUGCACACAGUCCUGGGUUCAGUCCCCAGCACUUCCA
rnacentral:tRNA from 1 species